rfam:Pseudocercospora fijiensis CIRAD86 unplaced genomic scaffold MYCFIscaffold_4, whole genome shotgun sequence.
GCCGGGGUAGCUCAAUCGGUAGAGCGUGUGGCUCUUAUGAUGGGUUUCCAAUCCAGAAAAGAACACCUCAAGGUCGUGGGUUCGAGCCCCACCUUCGGCU